GAUGAACGCUGGCGGCGUGCCUAAUACAUGCAAGUCGAGCGAAUGGAUUAAGAGCUUGCUCUUAUGAAGUUAGCGGGGGACGGGUGAGUAACACGUGAGUAACCUGCCCAUAAGACUGGGAUAACGCCGGGAAACCGGGGCUAAUACCGGAUAACAUUUUGAACCGCGUGGAUCGAAAUUGAAAGGCGGCUUCGGCUGUCACAUAUGGAUGGACCGGCGGCGCAUUAGCUAGUUGGUGAGGUAACGGCUCACCAAGGCAACGAGGCGUAGCCGACCUGAGAGGGUGAUCGGCCACACUGGGACUGAGACACGGCCCAGACUCCUACGGGAGGCAGCAGUAGGGAAUCUUCCGCAAUGGACGAAAGUCUGACGGAGCAACGCCGCGUGAGUGAUGAAGGCUUUCGGGUCGUAAAACUCUGUUGUCAGGGAAGAACAAGUGCUAGUUGAAUAAGCUGGCACCUUGACGGUACCUAACCAGAAAGCCACGGCUAACUACGUGCCAGCCGCCGCAGUAA
rnacentral:rRNA from 1 species